rnacentral:tRNA from 1 species
CAGAGAAUAGUUUAAGUAAAAUAUUAGUUUUGGGAAUUAAAGAUAAAAGGAGUUUUUUCUCUGA